UACAGAGGGUGCAAGCGUUACUCGGAAUUACUGGGCGUAAAGCGCGCGUAGGUGGUUCGUUAAGUUGGAUGUGAAAGCCCCGGGCUCAACCUGGGAACUGCAUUCAAAACUGACGAGCUAGAGUAUGGUAGAGGGUGGUGGAAUUUCCUGUGUAGCGGUGAAAUGCGUAGAUAUAGGAAGGAACACCAGUGGCGAAGGCGACCACCUGGACUGAUACUGACACUGAGGUGCGAAAGCGUGGGGAGCAAACAGG
rnacentral:rRNA from 1 species